rnacentral:rRNA from 1 species
AGUGAACGCUGGCGGUAGGCCUAACACAUGCAAGUCGAACGGCAGCACAGUAAGAGCUUGCUCUUACGGGUGGCGAGUGGCGGACGGGUGAGGAAUACAUCGGAAUCUACUUUUUCGUGGGGGAUAACGUAGGGAAACUUACGCUAAUACCGCAUACGACCUACGGGUGAAAGCAGGGGAUCUUCGGACCUUGCGCGAUUGAAUGAGCCGAUGUCGGAUUAGCUAGUUGGCGGGGUAAAGGCCCACCAAGGCGACGAUCCGUAGCUGGUCUGAGAGGAUGAGCAGCCACACUGGAACUGAGACACGGUCCAGACUCCUACGGGAGGCAGCAGUGGGGAAUAUUGGACAAUGGGCGCAAGCCUGAUCCAGCCAUACCGCGUGGUGGAAGAAGGCCUUCGGGUUGUAAAGCCCUUUUGUUGGGAAAGAAAAGCAGCAGGAUAAUACCCCGCUGUUCUGACGGUACCCAAAUAAUAAGCACCGGCUAACUUCGUG